CCUACGGGAGGCAGCAGUGAGGAAUAUUGGUCAAUGGACGAGAGUCUGAACCAGCCAAGUAGCGUGAAGAAUGACUGCCCUAUGGGUUGUAAACUUCUUUUAUAUGGGAAUAAAAUGUUCCACGUGUGGGAUUUUGUAUGUACCAUAUGAAUAAGGAUCGGCUAACUCCGUGCCAGCAGCCGCGGUAAUACGGAGGAUCCGAGCGUUAUCCGGAUUUAUUGGGUUUAAAGGGAGCGUAGGUGGAUUGUUAAGUCAGUUGUGAAAGUUUGCGGCUCAACCGUAAAAUUGCAGUUGAAACUGGCAGUCUUGAGUACAGUAGAGGUGGGCGGAAUUCGUGGUGUAGCGGUGAAAUGCUUAGAUAUCACGAAGAACUCCGAUUGCGAAGGCAGUUCACUGGACUGCAACUGACACUGAGGCUCGAAAGUGUGGGUAUCAAACAGGAUUAGAUACCCGAGUAGUC
rnacentral:rRNA from 1 species